GUGCUUGGUUUGGCAGGACAUAUACUAAAAUUGGAACUAUACAGAGAAGAUUAGCAUGGCCCGUGUGCAAGGAUGACAAGUAAAUUUGUGCCAUAUUUUACAUUUUC
ensembl:snRNA U6 U6 spliceosomal RNA